AGUGCGAAUCCGUUCUCCUUGCCGGAGGAAGAUGGCAGCACUAUUUCAGGGUUGGUAAGGUCUUGCGACGUCAUGCCAACAAGGCGACGGGCCAGCGAUCGUCUUACGGUCGCUUCAUGUGUCCUAGCCAAACGGAACCCCGCUUACGGUGCAAAAUGGAAUUAACCAUAUAAAAAGGAAAAAAAAGAGAAACUCUGAUCGUCAAUCCCAGCGUGCUUCCUGAGCAGCCGUGUAACAUAACCUAACAUAACCUAAGAAAAAGCGCGCUAAAACUACUAGCAGUCACCACAAAUGUGUUGCGUAUUUCAUAAUAAAUUGAUGUACCCGCGUAGAUUUCUAGCGAGAAGUGCAAAAAUUCGGGAAAAAAAACAAAGUACAAUUUGGAGUCUACGACAAAUAGAGAAGGUGAAAAAAAACUACGGAUAUAAAAUUGUGAACGUUGUGCGGCAGGGAAAACGAAAAAAUUUUUACACUGCUUUUGUGCGUACAGAGGGAUAAAUAGAUAAUAAAGCUAUGAAUCACAAAACUGUCUACGAAUAAUAGAGCGACUAAACAGAGAUAGAAUUGGAAGAUGAAAAAAAAAAAAAUUUCAAAAAUCAAACAUCCAAGACACAACCAAAGUGCGAACUCUACACAAUUGCAAGGUGUUAAAAUUGUUGCUGUUGAUUAAAUUUGAACAAAACUCGUACCGACACUGUGGAAAUAUUGCUUAUUACGAUCAAUAGACUCCGUGGUUCCUUCGACUCGACUGAAAAUUCACCAUCUCUUUUUAUCGUUUCUCGUGUAGGCCUUCUCACUAGUAUAUAUCACCCUUCCCACUGGCCGACUCCAGGCAACUGAGAACAAGCUCGACGGUAGUGACGACCCAGAGAGAGAAAUAUGCCGAUUACGGGGAGGGGAGAGAGACGAGAGGAACACUAGCGCGCGAACCCAGCAACGAUGUGUCGAUCACUUUUUGUACUAACUAACGUCUAGCUAUCAUCUAGCGCUCUUUAAGACACGAGGGUGACAAUUUGAUCGUUGACGACACCGAAUGUCUCGAUACAUUUCCUAUCUUUCCAAUUUUUUUUCUUUUUUUUUUUUAUUUAAUAAAUUUACCGCAACAGGUAUAACCCAAGAAGAAAUGUUAUGCGACAACAAAUGUAGUUUCUGCUAGUAUAUAAUCUGAUAACAAGCAACUGCAAGAUCGAACGAAAUAUAGAGAAUACGAGACGAUAGACGAUAAAUAUCGAGGCGCGAGAUGAUAAAAAGAAAGGA